CCUACGGGGGGCUGCAGUGGGGAAUAUUGCACAAUGGGCGCAAGCCUGAUGCAGCCAUGCCGCGUGUGUGAAGAAGGCCUUCGGGUUGUAAAGCACUUUCAGCGGGGAGGAAGGCGGUGAGGUUAAUAACCUCAUCGAUUGACGUUACCCGCAGAAGAAGCACCGGCUAACUCCGUGCCAGCAGCCGCGGUAAUACGGAGGGUGCAAGCGUUAAUCGGAAUUACUGGGCGUAAAGCGCACGCAGGCGGUCUGUCAAGUCGGAUGUGAAAUCCCCGGGCUCAACCUGGGAACUGCAUUCGAAACUGGCAGGCUAGAGUCUUGUAGAGGGGGGUAGAAUUCCAGGUGUAGCGGUGAAAUGCGUAGAGAUCUGGAGGAAUACCGGUGGCGAAGGCGGCCCCCUGGACAAAGACUGACGCUCAGGUGCGAAAGCGUGGGGAGCAAACAGGAUUAGAUACCCGGUAGUC
rnacentral:rRNA from 1 species